CUUUAACAGAGCUACUGCAGACAGAACAAGGGAAACAGCUCUGCCAAUAGCUCCCAGUGUGUGUGUGUGUGUGUGUGUGUGUGUGUGUGUGUGUGUGUGUGUGUGUGUGUGUGUGUGUGUGUGUGUGUGUGUGUGUGUGUGUGUGUGUGUGUGUGUGUGUGUGUGUGUGUGUGUGUGUGUGUGUGUAAGCCCUAUGCAUGACUGCUAGUCUUCUGAGCGAGUAGACUGCCGUCUGGUCGUCAUGGUUGUGUUGGACUGAAUGGAGCCGCUCUCCAUUUCUACGGAAUUAUCAAUUGGCAUCCUCCAGCUGUCCUCUCGGUCGUCCCAAUAUGCCCCCUGCUGAGGCUGCUGACACAUGGAGACGAUGAGCUGGGACCCCUCCACACAGGAAGUGCACAAGGUUGCCCAGACAAGAGCGUCUAUCAACACACAGCGGGAAUUGAAAACGGGUUUCUUCAGAGCGAGAAAAUGAAAGAAAAAGGAUGUCGGUGGGCGGAGCCAGGAGGGUCGUUAGCGAAACGGGACUCACCUGGGCUUGGGUGUGUCCCGGAGAUAAAUACACCUUUCCCCCAUACAUUGAAGAGACUCUCUCCACAUAGACACUGUUGUUUUUGGUUCUGGCGAUUUGGGGCUUCUUUGUGUUCAUUUGUUUUGGCACCUCUCAACACCCCUCAUUAUCACCAUCUAUGCGCACAACCACUCACACUACUGAC
rnacentral:lncRNA from 1 species